CUUCCUGGUUGCCUCAUUUCACUGCAAGAAUCAGAGCUGACACAAUCUCCUGUACGGUAAACAAUGGCCCGCACAUCAGAAGAUACCACAAAACAUCAGCCAAGUGAGAAAUGUGUGCACACCCAGGAGAGUGGUGAUGCAGGUCUGUCAUCAGAUCUGGAGCACAAGGCUACUGUGGAUUACAGUCCCAUACCACAGCCAAAUAAAGGUAGUAGUGUGAGAACCAUUACAAAGGAAGAACACGACUUCCCUGAGAUGAAGUCACCUCACCCAUCAAAGGCUGAGGUGGUUUUUGCUGAGAAAUCUGCCCUGAAUCCACCCCCUGUGCAAAACAACCUGGCACACAGCAGCAGGCAUGAGGAAGAGAUGCAGUUAGAUGAUCAUUGCAUCAUAGAACACGACAAGAUGGACACACAGGAAGGAACCCACCCAGCAAAACGUGCAGCAAAGGCAGCUGUGAAAGUGAGAGCCAGAGGCCGAAGAUCUGAUGGAAAAAUCCUGAAAGGGUUUGUGGUUUUCUUGGCAAUGGCAUCUGUUUGUGACCGCGUCUCUGCAAAACGUCGAGGUAAAUGUUUUUCCUGCAUGGACGAGGACAGGUGCCCUAAAGCGAUAACGAUCUAUGAUAAUUAUGACAAUGUCCUGUAUGCGAGAGGAAACAUCACCAGCUUUCCUGAAUGCACGGAUAUUCCUACUCUGGACUCGAAGACUUGUCAUGUGUGCAAUGAGAAACGUUCUGCACCCGUGUCCAUCUGGUGCUCAGAUGAUGUGGAUGAAUUUGUGGUAGAGACAGAGGACCAAGAUGACGACAUUGAAAACAUCACUUUGUGUGCACAUGGUUUGACUGAAGACCCAGCACGUGAUGGAGCUGCUCAUGAACCUGUGGCGCUCAUUUGGGUGGCGGUGGUGGUAACACUGGUGAUCUGCAAAGUACAAUAAUGGAAGACCACAUGGUCAUGGUCAUGGUCGCCGCUGCAUCCCGGUGUAGUUCUUGGCCUGCCC
rnacentral:lncRNA from 1 species